AAUUAUUACGACAGCUUGCAACGCAUUCUUUUUAAAUGCACGAAGAACUACAAUUACAGUGAGGCGCGAGGAGCAGCUUUAGUAAGUGCCUUAUCUUAAAGCGACAACCAAGGUUGCGUGAGGUUGGAAGCAGGGAGUAGCAGGGCUUAAGGCCUGGAUUUGGCAGCCAGAAGGAAGGACCAGCGUGGCAUCCCUCUCCUCCUCUCAUGUCCCCUCCCUGUGUGUCCUUGCAUGUCAGUGCCCCCUUGUCAUCCCCCCUGUGUCUCACCCUGCCAGCCCUCUGUGUUCCUCCCCCUCAUGCUUGGGACAGACUGGCGUCACUGUCAGACCAAUGACUGCCUGGAUCAUACUGCCUGUCAGCCUGGCUGCCUUUUCUAUCACCGGGAUAUGGAUAGUAUAUGCUAUGGCUGUAAUGAACCACCAUGUUUGUCCUGUCGAAAACUGGUCAUACAAUGUAACAUGCACAGAGGAAACAGCCAAGCCGGGCUUCCCAAAAACAUGCUGCACCCUUCAAGACAUCCCCCUCAUCAGUAAAUGUGGAUCUUUCCCUCCCGAGAGCUGUCUGUUCAGUCUCAUUGGUAAUGUGGGAGCUUUCAUGGUGGUGUUGGUGUGUCUGCUACGGUAUGCUCAGAUCAUCGAGCACAGGAACCACUGCUGGCUCAACACCAGUGGACUUGUGUCUGGAUGCACCAAUGCUGUGGGACUGGUCAUGGUGGGCAACUUCCAGGUGGACCACGCUAAAACACUUCACUAUGUAGGUGCGGGCGCCGCCUUCCCAGCAGGCAUUCUGUUCGUGUGUUUGCAGUGUUUGCUGACCUACCGGGUGGCUGUCACAGCUCUGGACUACUGGAUGGCUCAUCUGCGUGUGGCACUGGCUACUGGUGCUCUCAUCACACUGGUGCUCAGUGGGAUAUUCUUCAUCCAUGAGAGCUUUGUUUUACAACAUGCAGCAGCCAUCUGUGAGUGGGUCUUCACUGUAGUCAUCCUCGUGUUCUACGGGACUUUCACCUACGAGUUCGGCACCGUCACCACCGAGACCAUGUUGGCCGGCCUCCAGCUGAACCUCUUGCACGGACCCGGCAUCAUGAUCGGAGACGAUGUCCAAGCAGACACCCUGGUAGGCGCCACCACAAAAGGUUUGAAAUCUCCCGGAGGAAGCAGCACCUCCACCCAUCUGAACUGCACUCCUGAGAACAUCGCAAUGCUUUAAACACAUCAGCACAUGCGGUCACAUACUGCCAGGUAGGAAGCCUCACAAUAAUGCACCCUGCAUUUAAGACCACACUUGGGCUUAAAUGAGAUUAAAGUCAUUUAGAGAAACCGUCCAGUCUGGAGUCGAGGCAGUUUAAUAGGGUUUACAGGUGUGACUUUCAUUUCAGAUUUUAAGUUUCAUCUGAUAAAUUUGUUUUUUUUUUUUUUUUUUUCCUGUUAAGCCUUGCGAGAAGCUUCUGUUUGGGUUGUUUUUAGGUGAGAAGGACAGAAUGAGCAUUUGUUUUAAGGAACAGGGAUUUUAGUUCCACUUUAAGGUUGUUGUUAGCACAGAUCCAAUGGUUUGUGAGGUUAGAAUAGUUGCACUGGGCGAUGGGGUACAUUUUUACGCUGCACAAAUGGUUCAGGGGUAUCUCUUUUAGAGCCUGCUGCUGUUUGCCCACACACAUAUUGUUGCAAAUGGAUGAUUUGCACGUAACACAAUGAAUGAAUUUUGAUUUAAGUUCUUUUCACUUUUAUUUGGAAUUGCAGACUAUCGGGAUCAGAGUAUUAUCAUUUUUGUAACGUGAAUGUCUAAGAUACGGAUCAAACUAUAGCCUUUGAGCACCUUUUAUUUUGGAAUUGGAAAAAAAGUACAUUAUAUAAUUUAAAUCUAACUUAUGAAAUUACGUGUCAUUCACCCUUUUUUUGUAUUGGUGGCCUUUUUAAUGAUGCAGUGGGUAAAUGUUUUGUUAUGCUGGCUUGCUUCUGUUUUAUGCUUGCUUUUAGUCUCUGAUGAGGUGGGUUUUGUUUUUCAUUUCAAGCAGGAGGAAGUGAUGUAAGGUGACACCACCUCUAUCCUUGCCUUCCUGGCCGGGCCAUAAAAACAACUCGAAAAAUGCCACAUCUAUUCAUCGUUUUACAUUGUAAUUUUUUCUUGCAUAUCUUCGCAGAUUAUUUUGUGUAGUUACAUAGUGACAUAACUAAUCCAACUGGUUUUUUUUACAUAAGCAGCACAUCAGUUUGUUUUUUUCUGUUGCCAAAGGAUGCAUUUCAAAAUAUGUACUGUAUGCCUUUAAUUCAUUAACUUUGAUUCAUUGUUUUUUUGUGUGUGUAGCAGGACAUAUAGCCACUAAGAAAAUGACAGUACUGCAAUAUUAACAAAUUUUGAAACGAUUAUAUGAAUGAAACUGAUUGGUUUCCAGGCUGGAACCUAGGAAACCAUCUUUAAACUUUCUGAGGGUUGAGUGGUUAUGGUGGCCUUAAUGUUGCUGUAGUAUUUGUGUGAUGUAUUAUCAGGCUGUCAAUCAAAGGGUCCGUAUUGCUUUUAAAGUGACUCCAGAUUUAUUGUGCUUUAACAUUUAUAUUUUACACAAAAAUGUGCCAGGUAUUGUCUGUUUGUUUGCUGCCCUUCAAUGGGACUGAUGGAUUUCAUGCCAAUGAUUAGACUGUACAUUUAGAUGUGGUCUCUAGGCAUCAUACAUGUUUAUCUCUGUUGAUUCCACUCAUGCAAGGGAAUAGUCACAGGGCUUCACUGUACAACUGAAACCAUCCAUUAAAUAUAAUAUUAGUUGCUCAUUACAAAAUACAUUCAGCUCAAACCAAACUGCACAUAGAGGUCCAGUAACAUAACGGGUCAAGCUUAAACAAACACAAGAGGGCAUAAAAUCUUGGGUAAUAUAAAAUAUGUGCAUAUGAACCUAAAGUCAAUGUUUAUGUCAUUUCUCAUUAAUUGCCUUUUUUGCCAUAUCCUAGCAACAUUUGGUAUAAAUUACAUGCAAUAUUUGUCAAUGCAUAAUAGUGCAUCUUAUAUUAUCCGAAUAGCAGAUCAGUCAUUUAUAGGUCACCUAAGAGCAAAAUGUUUAUGUUACAAUUUGAACUGACUUGUUUUCAACACAUAAGGCUUGGUCAAAGAUUUUAAAGUCAAAAGGAAACACUGUCAGAUAUUUUCAUUGAUGUUUCUUUCUUGAUGUUACAUGGUUGAUGUUUCAGCAGUUGUCUGGAUAGAAGUUAUUUUUCUGAUGCCUUUAAAUGAUGUAAUCAAAGUAUUUUUAUCAACACAGUGCGUCUGUUAAGAACACAACAAAGACGUGAGGUUCACACUCCAAAAUCGAAAUAAAAACAUGCAGAGAAUAUUUUUCUUUUAUAAAUUACUUAUGUAAAUGAGUACGAUUUAUGUGUAAUUUCAAUGAUUUUCUUUGACAGAGGUUUAUAUUGAAUUACCAAAAUAUCUGAUGGAAAAUAAACAAGUGUAUCUGUA